GCAGGGCAGAGCAGGAGGAGGUUUGCCUCUCCCAUGGGGCUGUGGCACUGCUCUGGGACAGCAGCCAGGCACCAAACUUUGUGUGCUAGGAAGUAAUGCAAGAAGAGGAAUGCUACAAGAACUGAUCUCUGCUUCAACAGCCUGUGAAGAGAAAGUGAGUUCAGACUUAUUCCCUGCAUCCAAUCACAAAGAAGGUCAUCCUUUUGCUAUUCCCACCCAGCACCCAGAUGGCAGGUUGGGCUACAGGUGAUUGUGGAUUCUCUAGAAGAUCAUGUUCCAUGUCUUCCACUGUUUGCCAUGAUGUCUGCUGGGUAACCUGUGGCUCCCCUCCUGACACAGGUGAUCACCAGGAGCUAUAAGAAAUGAGACUGGGAGUAGGGCUUCCCUUGGGGCACUGGGAUUGGUUCUCUCACACCCCACUCGUUAUUUAGCUCAGCUGUGGAGCUCAGCUCUCCCUUCUAACUUGGAAAUAUGAGGGGUAACUGAAUGUGGGGAGGUGAUAUAUGGGCGACAGUGGAGUGAGGAAGGAUGCUGGGUUCCUGUCUGGGCUGAGAGGAUUUGACAAGAAGAUUGUGUGAUGGCUGGAGGGCUGUAUGAACAAGCACAAACCAAUUGGAGGAUGCCUUGUUACCAGGAAACUUCAGUUGUUUAUUUCUUCAGAUCAAUUUGCCCAUCUCCAGCUGUCCCAAAAUGCCUUCAGAAGAAUGGGAACAUUCAUUUUAGCAACAAUAAUACAGCAAAAUUAUAAAAUCUGAGACUGGUUACUAAUUAUCCUUGUCUGGAAUAGAAGAAAUUAUAGAAGCCAUUGAAACACAGAGGACAAGGAAAUAAAUGUGGAUGUCUCCCAUUUUAAAAUGCUGAAGAAAAAGUAUGUAAUUCAAAAGAUGAGGCUUCUAUUUGCAGAUUUAGAAAAAUGGAAAACCUAAAUAUUUCAGAUAAGACUAAGAAACCUAGGCAUGAUGUUGAUAGAACUUGGGGUAAUUAAAACCAACCACAAUGAAAAGAAACUUGGAGAACCUUAAAAGCAAAACAGCCGUAGAAUGAUGGAAUAUCUCGAGUUGGAAGGGACCCAUAAGAAUCUCCAAAUCCAGCUCCCAACAACACCACCUACAAUUCAGACCUUACGACUGAGAAUGUUAUCCAGGCACACCCCUGAAUUGGGCAGUUCAGUGCUAUGGCCA